AGCGAAAUUGAAUACUAGAUUAGUAUUUAUACUUCUGUGAAAUUAUUAAGAAAUAACAAAAAAUGAUAUUUUCACAUGAAUCUCUCUCCUCGCAUAGAGGUGAGACCUACUUAAUGUUUAUGUGGGAUCAUAGGAAAAUAUCAAAAUUUCAUGUAAAAAUAUCAGUUCCCUCUAUAUAAGAACAGACUCAACAGAAGACAUUAAUAAUACAUUUAAUUUCAACAGAGUGAACAAUUAAUAUUCAAAUAAUGAAUGAUCAUUUUCUUCAACCCUCUACCACUUAAACCAUGCAAAAAACAUGGCUGCUAAGGGUAACACCGUCAACACUCUUUGAUCUGCAGAACUUGUUUCUCCAGUUGAUCCUACAAGUUUCCGCAAAAUUAAUUAUUUAUUUGAGUGUUAAUUAUACGGGGAGAGCCAAAUAAUAUCAUAUAGUGCUGAAUAUAAUGGCCACCCUUGGAAAAAUUUCGUAUUUCCUUAUCUAAAAGUUAAAUUGAAUCUCUAAACAAAC
rnacentral:lncRNA from 1 species